rnacentral:rRNA from 1 species
GAUCAUGGCUCAGGACGAACGCUGGCGGCGUGCUUAACACAUGCAAGUCGAACGAGAAUCUGUGGAAAGAGGAUUCGUCCAAUUGAAGCAGAGGACAGUGGCGGACGGGUGAGUAACGCGUGAGGGACCUGCCUUUCAGAGGGGGACAACAGUUGGAAACGACUGCUAAUACCGCAUAACAUAUAGAUGUCGCAUGGCAUUUAUAUCAAAGAUUUAUCGCUGAAAGAUGG